UACGUAGGGGGCAAGCGUUGUCCGGAUUUAUUGGGCGUAAAGAGCGUGUAGGCGGCCUGACAGGUCUGCUGUGAAAACUCGAGGCUCAACCUCGGAGAUGUCGGCGGAAACCGUCUGCUAGAGUCCGGAAGAGGAGAGUGGAAUUCCGUGGUGUAGCGGUGGAAUGCGCAGAUAUCAGGAGGAACACCAAUGGCGAAGGCAGCUCUCUAG
rnacentral:rRNA from 1 species